rnacentral:rRNA from 2 species
UACCAUGCAAGUCGAACGAUGAACCUCACUUGUGGGGGGAUUAGUGGCGAACGGGUGAGUAACACGUGAGUAACCUGCCCUUGACUCUGGGAUAAGCCUGGGAAACCGGGUCUAAUACUGGAUACGACCUUCUGGCGCAUGCCAUGUUGGUGGAAAGCUUUUGUGGUUUUGGAUGGACUCGCGGCCUAUCAGCUUGUUGGUGGGGUAAUGGCCUACCAAGGCGACGACGGGUAGCCGGCCUGAGAGGGUGACCGGCCACACUGGGACUGAGACACGGCCCAGACUCCUACGGGAGGCAGCAGUGGGGAAUAUUGCACAAUGGGCGCAAGCCUGAUGCAGCGACGCCGCGUGAGGGAUGAAGGCCUUCGGGUUGUAAACCUCUUUCAGUAGGGAAGAAGCCGGCCUUUCGGGGUUGGUGACGGUACCUGCAGAAGAAGCGCCGGCUAACUACGUGCCAGCAGCCGCGGUAAUACGUAGGGCGCAAGCGUUAUCCGGAAUUAUUGGGCGUAAAGAGCUCGUAGGCGGUUUGUCGCGUCUGCCGUGAAAGUCCGGGGCUUAACCCCGGAUCUGCGGUGGGUACGGGCAGACUAGAGUGCAGUAGGGGAGACUGGAAUUCCUGGUGUAGCGGUGAAAUGCGCAGAUAUCAGGAGGAACACCGAUGGCGAAGGCAGGUCUCUGGGCUGUAACUGACGCUGAGGAGCGAAAGCAUGGGGAGCGAACAGGAUUAGAUACCCUGGUAGUCCAUGCCGUAAACGUUGGGCACUAGGUGUGGGGGACAUUCCACGUUUUCCGCGCCGUAGCUAACGCAUUAAGUGCCCCGCCUGGGGAGUACGGCCGCAAGGCUAAAACUCAAAGGAAUUGACGGGGGCCCGCACAAGCGGCGGAGCAUGCGGAUUAAUUCGAUGCAACGCGAAGAACCUUACCAAGGCUUGACAUGAACCGGAAUGAUGCAGAGAUGUGUCAGCCACUUGUGGCCGGGUUUACAGUGGUGCAUGGUUGUCGUCAGCUCGUGUCGUGAGAUGUUGGGGUUA